rnacentral:rRNA from 1 species
CGGUUGAUCCUGCCGGAGAUCACCGCUAUUGGAAUCCGAUUAAGGCAUGCGAGUCGAGACGGCUGGAGCUGUCGGCGCAGCGCUCAGUAACACGUAGACAAUCUGCCCUUAGGUGGGGGAUAAACUCGAGAAAUUGAGUAUAAUACCCCAUAGUUCUAGAAUGCUGGAAUGCUUCUAGAACGAAAGCCCCGGCGCCUAAGGAUGAGUCUGCGGCCUAUCAGGUUGUAGUGAGUGUAACGGACUCACUAACCUACGACGGGUACGGGUCCUGGAAGGGAGCGCCCGGAGAUGGACUCUGAGACAAGAGUCCAGGCCCUACGGGGCGCAGCAGCCACGAAAACUUCACAAUGCGGGAAACCGCGAUGAGGGAAUUCCAAGUGCUAAUACUUUGUAUUAGCUGUUUACCUGCCUAAAAAGCAGGUAGAGUAAGGGCUGGGUAAGACUGGUGCCAGCCGCCGCGGUAAUACCAGCAGCCCAAGUGGUGAUCGUUAUUAUUGGGCCUAAAGCGUCCGUAGCCGGUUUGGUAAAUCCUUGGGUAAAUCGGGCAGCUCAACUGUCCGAAUUCCGAGGAGACUGCCAAACUUGGGACCGGGAGAGGUCAGAGGUACUCCUAGGGUAGAGGUGAAAUUCUGUAAUCCUAGGAGGACCACCAGUGGCGAAGGCGUCUGACCAGAACGGGUCCGACGGUAAGGGACGAAACCCUGGGGCGCGAACCGGAUUAGAUACCCGGGUAGUCCAGGGCGUAAACGCUGCGGGCUUGGUGUUGGGGGUCCUACGAGGGCGCCCAGUGCCGGAGAGAAGUUGUUAAGCCCGCCGCCUGGGGAGUACGGUCGCAAGACUGAAACUUAAAGGAAUUGGCGGGGGAGCAC